GACGUAGGGCGCGAGCGUUGUCCGGAUUUAUUGGGCGUAAAGAGCUCGUAGGCGGUUUGUCGCGUCUGCUGUGAAAUCCCGAGGCUCAACCUCGGGCCUGCAGUGGGUACGGGCAGACUAGAGUGAUGUAGGGGAGACUGGAAUUCCUGGUGUAGCGGUGAAAUGCGCAGAUAUCAGGAGGAACACCGAUGGCGAAGGCAGGUCUCUGGGCAUUAACUGACGCUGAGGAGCGAAAGCAUGGGGGAGCGAACAGG
rnacentral:rRNA from 1 species